rnacentral:rRNA from 1 species
UACGAAGGGGGCUAGCGUUGUUCGGAAUCACUGGGCGUAAAGCGCACGCAGGCGGAUUGAUAAGUCAGGGGUGAAAUCCCGGAGCUCAACUUCGGAAUUGCCUUUGAUACUGUCUGUCUUGAGUCCGGGAGAGGUGAGUGGAAUUCCUAGUGUAGAGGUGAAAUUCGUAGAUAUUAGGAAGAACACCAGUGGCGAAGGCGGCUCACUGGCCCGGUACUGACGCUCAUGUGCGAAAGCGUGGGGAGCAAACAGG